rnacentral:rRNA from 1 species
CCUACGGGAGGCAGCAGUGGGGAAUAUUGCACAAUGGGGGAAACCCUGAUGCAGCGACGCCGCGUGAGUGAAGAAGUCUUUCGGUAUGUAAAGCUCUAUCAGCAGGGAAGAAAAUGACGGUACCUGAUUACGACGCCCCGGCUAACUACGUGCCAGUCGCCGCGGUAAUACGUAGGGGGCAAGCGUUAUCCGGAUUUACUGGGUGUAAAGGGAGCGUAGACGGCAGCACAAGUCUGGAGUGAAAUGCCGGGGCUUAACCCCGGAACUGCUUUGGAAACUGUGCAGCUGGAGUGCAGGAGAGGUGAGUGGAAUGCCUGGUGUAGCGGUGAAAUGCGUAGAUAUUAGGAGGAACACCAGUGGCGAAGGCGGCUUACUGAACUGUAACUGACGUUGAGGCUCGAAAGCGUGGGGAGCAAACAGGAUUAGAUACCCUUGUAGUC